UAGGGAAUAUUGCACAAUGAGCGAAAGCUUGAUGCAGCAACGCCGCGUGCGCGAUGACGGCCUUCGGGUUGUAAAGCGCUUUUCGGGGAGAUGAGGAAGGACAGUAUCCCCGGAAUAAGUCUCGGCUAACUACGUGCCAGCAGCCGCGGUAACACGUAGGAGGCAAGCGUUAUCCGAAUUUACUGGGCGUAAAGCGCGUGCAGGCGGUUCGGUAAGUUGGAUGUGAAAUCUCUCGGCUCAACUGGGAGGGGACGUUCAAUACUGUCGGACUCGAGGACGAUAGAGGGAGGUGGAAGUCCCGGUGUAGUGGUGAAAUGCGUAGAUAUCGGGAGGAACACCAGUGGCGAAAGCGGCCUCCUGGACCAUUCCUGACGCUCAGACGCGAAAGCUAGGGGAGC
rnacentral:rRNA from 1 species